rnacentral:rRNA from 1 species
UACGUAGGGUCCGAGCGUUGUCCGGAAUUACUGGGCGUAAAGAGCUCGUAGGUGGUUUGUCACGUUGUUCGUGAAAACUCACAGCUUAACUGUGGGCGUGCGGGCGAUACGGGCAGACUAGAGUACUGCAGGGGAGACUGGAAUUCCUGGUGUAGCGGUGGAAUGCGCAGACAUCAGGAGGAACACCGGUGGCGAAGGCGGUUCUCUGGGCCUCACCUGACGCUGAGGAGCGAAAGCGUGGGGAGCAAACAGG